UGAAGAACAGGGCUGUUGAGGGGACACCUCUGGGCCGUAUGAGUGACAUACGCAGCAGCCCUGAGAGUGGAGGAGAAUCGCCAAGAAACUUGGCUGAGGAAUGGGAUGAUGAAAAGAUCGAUAUGAAAGGUGACGAGCAAGGAGAGGGAUAUGAACAAGGGGAGUUGGGAGAGGGAUAUGAACAAGGAGAGUUGGGAGAGGGAUAUGAACAAGGAGAGUUAGGAGAAGGAUAUGAACAAGGAGGCGCAUUGGAAUCUGAAGACGACGAACAAGCAGUGGGAUAUGGACAAGGUAACUGGGAAAUUGGGUUUGAUGGGACUUCCAGCGGAUGGAACAGGGGUUUAGUAGAAGCUAGUGACAACGAUUUGGAUACUUC
rnacentral:lncRNA from 1 species